AUUGAACGCUGGCGGCAGGCCUAACACAUGCAAGUAGAGCGGAGCGGCGGACGGGUGAGUAAUGCAUAGGAAUCUGCCUGGUAGUGGGGGAUAACGUCCGGCAACGGGCGCUAAUACCGAAUACUAUCAGAUGAGACUAGGUCGGAUUAGCUAGUUGGUGGGGUAAAGGCUUACCAAGGCGACGAUCCGUUACUGGUCUGAGAGGCUGAUCAGUCGCACUGGAACUGAGACACGGGCCAGACUCCUACGGGAGGCAGCAGGGGGGAAUAUUGGACAAUGGGCGAAAGACUGAUCCAGCCAUGGCGCGUGUGUGAAGAAGGGCGUCGGAUUGUAAAGCACUGUAAGUUGGGAGGCGGUACCAACAGAAUAAGCACCGGCUAACUUCGUGCCAGCAGCCGCGGUAAUUC
rnacentral:rRNA from 1 species